CUGUCGAGCCGGUUGAACCAC
rnacentral:miRNA from 1 species